UACGGAGGAUGCAAGCGUUAUCCGGAAUGAUUGGGCGUAAGCGUCCGCAGGUGGCAAUGUAAGUCUGCUGUUAAAGAGUCUAGCUCAACUAGAUAAAAGCAGUGGAAACUACAUAGCUAGAGUACGUUCGGGGCAGAAGGGAAUUCCUGGUCGUAGGCGGUGAAAUGCGAUGACGGAGUAUCAAAGAGGGAACAGACCUGGCGGGCGGAAAGGGCGGGGGUUUGGCCUGGGGACC
rnacentral:rRNA from 1 species